GGAUUGGCAGGGGAUGAGAAGAAUCCUCUUCCAGUGUUUUCUCUGCCACAUGAAGACAAGACAAGAAGACCUGAAGUUAGAACAAGUUUUCUGCCGAACAAAGCCAAGUGACAUGACCAAGAGCUGGCCUGACCUCAUACACAGAACGAGACAGAAUUUACAGUGACCUUGACUGAGUCAAUCAAGUACCUUGAUUGAGUCUCCUGGAUGUGAAUAGUUCCAAGUUUUCUGUUCCAUUGGAACCUUACAGAGUUUUGUUUUGGUUUUAUUGUUCAAUGCAAAGCACCUGCUUUUUUUCGUUUGUUUGUUUUGUUUUAAAUAAAGUUUUAAGUUCUUUUAGUUA